GGCUGGAGAAAAUUGAUUGGAGGAAAGCCCCUUUCUAUGCUUAUUACAAGGACUUCGACAUAGAGGGAUGCCCAAUGCCAGGACCCGGGACUUGUGCCUCUAACCCUAAUAACUGGUGGGAGGGAACUGCAUACCAUGAACUCAGCCCUAUUGAAGCCAGACGAUACCAUUGGGUCCGUCAGAACCACAUGAUCUAUGACUACUGCACGGACAAAUCGCGAUACCCGGUUACCCCACCGGAGUGUGUCGCAGGCAUCUAAAAUCCGAUGGCCAAUUUUUCCUUAAUUGGUAAAUACAUUCAUGCCUACGUACGUACACACCCUCAUACACUCUGUUGUGUGAUAAGAGCCAUGCAUAUCAGGGGGUAUAGAGGGGAUAAAAAAUAAUAUUAUUUUUGUUUCGAUGGUGAUUUUAGUAUGUGGUUGAAGCCUAAGAUUUGUAAGGUUUGUUUUCUAAGGGUGGGCAAAGGGUCAACUUCUAUUUGUAAACCAUAUGUGUCUGUAUUUGCCGAUUAUCAUAAGUGCCAAUAAAG
rnacentral:lncRNA from 1 species